ACGUUAGUGUUCAAACAAAACAGGUCUAACCAGGUUAUGCCUGUGUCUCAAGAACAGAGACAACCUGUUAAUGGAUGAGGAAUUGAUUUGGUGGUGACCGUGCCUUUCAGCUUAGAGGCAGUUUCAGGUACCAAGCGUGGAAGGAGCAUCUAGCCCAUUCUCUCUCGGGGCACCAUGACCGGCUCUUGGUAGUGACUCUUGACAAUUUUAGAGGACUUUGAACAGGCUUUUUCCCCAGCUCCAGGAUCCAGAAAAGAAAACCAAAAUGCCAACAGAGUCUGAACAAGAUGUGGACUGCUAAGGAGAUCUUUGGAUUUCACAGAGCCCCAUCCCCCUGAGCCAAGGCUAUGCAGGGAGUUUCCUAUUCUUGCUUCACUGGGUCCCAAAUGUUUCUCCACCUGCACAGGUGAGCGAGUGCCCUGGCCAGGAAAAAUACAGUCUCCUAACCAUUAACUUUCCCCCUUGGGUCUUCC